UUAUUUUCUAUCACUUCUACAUAGACUUGUCUAAUAAUAAAUAUAAAUAAAUCCAAUGUUCAUAGUUAGUGAUGCACUAGGAAAUCCACAGACCUGCCAAUAUGUAUGCAUUUUGCAUAACGGGCAUGCAUUCUGACCUCCUAGAAUGCUCUGUAUAGCUCUGUAUGCAACCCAGUACAGCUCUGGAAAAAAAUAAGAGACCACUUCAGUUUCUAAAUCAUUUUCCCUAAUUUUGCUAUUUAUAGGUGUAUGUUUUAGCAAAAUGAACAUUGUUUUAUUCUAUAAACUAUGGACAACAUUUCUCCAAAAUUCCAAAUGAAAAUAUUGUCAUUUAUUUGCAUAAAAUGAGAAAUAACAAAAAAGGUUCAGAGCUUUCAGACCUCAAAUAAUGCAAAGAAAACAAGUUCAUAUUCAUAAAGUUUUAAUAGUUCAGAAAUCAAUAUUUGGUGGAAUAAUACUGUUUUUUUAAUCACAGUUUUCAUGCAUCUUGGCAUGUUCUCCUCCACCAGUCUUACACACUGACUUACACAUAACUCUAUGCCACUCCUGGUGCAAAAAUUCAAGCAGCUCAGUUUGGUUUUUUGGCUUGUAAUAAUCUUCUUCUUGCUUAUAUUUUAGAGGUUUUCAAUUUGGUAAAAUCAAAGAAACUCAGCAUUUUAAGUAGUCUCUUUAUUUUUUACUUUAUUUUUUAAUCCAGAGCUGUAUAUAAUCUAUGAUAAUAUUCUUAAUUGCUGUGUUAACAAUGCGCAAUUGAAUUUUAUCGAGUAUGCUAACCACUGGGGAAAAACAGCAGUUAAAACACUGUUACUCCAUGAGUUCAUUAUAGACUACUGUUAAUAAUACUGGGUGCCCUUGGGCAGAACAUGAUGACCCAAAAAUUCCACUGCAGUCAGAGAGGCAGAGAUGAGUCAGCUGGUCUUGUCUGAUUUACCUGUUAAAUUGACUUCCUUUGCUUUUCUUUAUGUAGACACACCCAGGUUGAGUGAUGAGAAACAAGUAUAAUUCCUCCGUCGGGCAAAUACCAUAGCAUUAUUUUUCUGAACUACAGUCUGGACUAAAUAAAUGGAAGAAUAGCCAAAUUUACACAUUAUCUACCCAGUCCUGACUGAAAUAAGCCUGUUAUUUAAAGGAGGUGUAGCUAAUCUUUUGGAAUUUAUCAUGACUGUGGAAGUUUCACUCUGGCUUGUGUUGAGCCAUUAAACUGUCUCUUUACUUUUCUCACCACUGAAAAAUAUUCCACUCCCUUCUUAAAUUCUUGACAAACAUUGACUGUAUAAAAGAGACUAGCACUUUGUUCUGCUCCAGCUUGGUUAUGUUUGUUUUGGAUGCAUCAUUUAAACAUGUGGUUCAUCACCACUGUGACUGCUUCCAUACCUAAGAACAGUCUACACUGCUGACUCACCCUUCCACUCUGUCUCCUCACUUACUGGAAGGCAUGCUGUUAAUACCUGUGCAAAGCUGGGCUGCAAAUUGUAUCAUUUGUUAAGCUUUAUAACAAUAUUAACCUUGGUAGUACUUCUUCUACAAUCUGCAAACAGCUCAUCAGAGAGCAACAAUCUGUUAGAUAGACAUACACACAUGUCCAACUUCACAAUCUGUACUGUUCUACAACAUUUUCUUAUUCUUUUUCUAUUUAUAUUUCUAAUGAAUUAGGCACAAACAUCUAAUAGUAAAGACUUUUAGUAAACAUAUUCUCCUUAUGGAGACAUUUACUAUAAGGGUUUAUUUAUUCCAUUUAUGUUGUUUUAUAAUUAUAUAACAUGCUCUCCAUCAGCAUGGUUCUGGAUUUUUUCUUGAGGUGAACAUUCAGGAACAGUGUGAGUAGGGGUGAACAUUCUAGAACAGUGUAAUAAGGGUGAAAAGCCUGAAACAGUGUGAAUAGUUGUGAACAUUCUAAAACAGUGUGAGUAGAGGUGAACAUUCUGGAACAGUGUGAGCAGAGGUGAACAUUCAGGAACAGUGUGAGCAGAGGUGAACAUUCAGGAACAGUGUGAGCAGAGGUGAACAUUCAGGAACAGUGUGAGUAGGUUUGAACAUUCUAGAACAGUGUGAGUAGAGGUGAACAUUCAGGAACAGUGUGAGUAGAGGUGAACAUUCAGGAACAGUGUGAGUAGGGGUGAAGAUUCUAGAACAGUGUGAGAAGGGUUGAACAUUCUAGAACAGUGUGAGCAGAGGUGAACAUUCAGGAACAGUGUGAGCAGAGGUGAACAUUCAGGAACAGUGUGAGCAGGGGUGAAGAUUCUAGAACAGUGUGAGUAGGGGUGAACAUUCAGGAACAGUGUGAGCAGAGGUGAACAUUCAGGAACAGUGUGAGCAGAGGUGAACAUUCAGGAACAGUGUGAGUAGGUUUGAACAUUCUAGAACAGUGUGAGUAGAGGUGAACAUUCAGGAACAGUGUGAGUAGGUUUGAACAUUCUAGAACAGUGUGAGUAGAGGUGAACAUUCAGGAACAGUGUGAGUAGAGGUGAACAUUCAGGAACAGUGUGAGUAGGGGUGAACAUUCAGGAACAGUGUGAGUAGAGGUGAACAUUCAGGAACAGUGUGAGUAGGGGUGAAGAUUCUAGAACAGUGUGAGAAGGGUUGAACAUUCUAGAACAGUGUGAGCAGAGGUGAACAUUCUGGAACAGUGUGAGUAGAGGUGAACAUUCUGGAACAGUGUGAGUAGAGGUGAACAUUUUGGAACAGUGUGAGUAGAGGUGAACAUUUUGGAACAGUGUGAGCAGAGGUGAACAUUCUGGAACAGUGUGAGUAGGGGUGAAGAUUCUAAAACAGUGUGAGUAGAGGUUAACAUUCAGGAACAGUGUGAGCAGAGGUGAACAUUCUGGAACAGUGUGAGCAGGGGUGAAGAUUCUAAAACAGUGUGAGCAGAGGUGAACAUUUUGGAACAGUGUGAGCAGAGGUGAACAUUUUGGAACAGUGUGAGCAGAGGUGAACAUUUUGGAACAGUGUGAGCAGAGGUGAACAUUUUGGAACAGUGUGAGUAGAGGUGAACAUUCUGGAACAGUGUGAGUAGAGGUGAACAUUCUGGAACAGUGUGAGUAGGGGUGAACAUUUUGGAACAGUGUGAGCAGAGGUGAACAUUCUAGAACCGAUGAGUUGGGAUGAAUAUUCUAGAAUAUUGUGCGUAAGGUGCACAUUCUUAAACAAUGUAAGGAGGAUGAACAUUCUAGAACAGUGUAAAUAGGGGUAAACUUUCUAAGUGCAUUAGUGAUUGUAAAACAUUUUGGAAGAAUGUGAAAGGGGUAGAACAUUCUAGAACAGUGUGAAUUGGAGUGAACAUUCUAGGUGCAUUUGUAGAACUUUCUAGAACAGUGUAAAUAAGAAGAACUAUUCUAAACAGUGUGAAUAUUCGUUAGUUCAUUGCUGGCAUUGGAGUUGUGGGGUUUGUUGGCCUCUGUUGGGUCAUAACUGCUGUAAAUGCAGCAGUGAGUUAAGCAGUGGCAGAGAGGAAGUGUCUCACUCUUUCCGUGUGUGU